ACGAGAAUUUGAUCCUGGUUCAGAUUGAAUGCUGACGGCGUGGAUGAGGCAUGCAAGUCGAACGAAGUAGCUUGCUACUUAGUGGCGAAAGGGUUAGUAAUACAUGAGUAACGUACCUCUUUCCUGGGGAUAACGGUUGGAAACGGCCGCUAAUACCGAAUGAGGAGAUGCGGGGUAGCCCGACAUCUUCAAAGUAGGGGACCCUUCGGGGCCUUACGGAGAGAGAGCGGCUCAUGGGAUAUCAGCUUGUUGGUGUGGUAAAGGCGCACCAAGGCUAAGACGUCUAGGCGGACUGAGAGGUUGACCGCCAACACUGGGACUGAGACACUGCCCAGACUCCUACGGGAGGCUGCAGUCGAGAAUCAUUCGCAAUGGGCGAAAGCCUGACGAUGCGACGCCGUGUGGACGAUGAAGGCCUUCGGGUUGUAAAGUCCUUUCGCCAGGGAACAAGAGAGAGUAACUAAUAAUUACUCGAUUUGAGCGUACCUGGUAAAGAAGCACCGGCUAACUCCGUGC
rnacentral:rRNA from 13 species